rnacentral:snoRNA from 1 species
AAGAAAAAGUGUCCUUGGGCUUUCUGUCUGCCUGACAGUGGCAGCCAGGAUUGAAUUGGGGA